GCCUUCAUCCGAAACCGCGGCGAACGAACGGUGAGCGAAGCCGCAGUUUGAGAUUCGAGUUGAAAGCAAAAUGUCGGGAAAACGUUGGUCAGAAGGAGAUUUUUUAAGUUUGUUCCAAAAAAAGUUUUUAUCGCUGAAGAUAAAACGCAAACCAUCGUUACAAUUUGUUAAUUGUGUAGUGAUUCUAAAACGUUUCAGUGUAAUGCUAAGUUUAAUUUGAAAAGGCAUAUAACCACUAAGCACAAGGAAAAGGCCGUAGAGCUAAAUUUAUUGAAUGACGAUAAGCAAACUACUGCUGCAUCCAGUUCCAGAGAAGUAAAUUCGAGAAAAAGAAGUCGAUGGGUUACGGUUCCUCUUGAGCGAAAUGUUUACAUAACAAACAUCGUUCGAUGGUUGACUGAGUGCAACGUUCCACUGCAGUUUUUCUCCCACGAAUGUGUCAGUAACAUAUUGCGUCCGAUUGAAAAUGCUUUGAAACUGGGACACACUAAUCGCCAUAAUAUACUACGAUACGUCAACGAAAUUCACAAUAAAGUCGUGGAAUACAUAUCAUCUCAGCUUCGCGGAAAAUUAAUCAGCAUAAAGGCGAAUAUCGCAUCCCGCAGAGGCAGGAGCAUAUUAGGAAUCAAUGUCCAGUUCAUUCAUCAAGGAAAAAUCGUCAUCUACACUCUUGCUAUGCAAGAAAGCACAGGGCGGAAUAUUGCAGAGAGGAGUUUAGAUGAAAUUUUAAGUGUUCUGGACAGAUUUUCAAUACUGAUUAAGCAAAUUUAUACAAUCACGACGAACAAUGGUCAAAAUUUCAUAAAAGCUUCCGGAUUGUUUCGAAACAAGCAAAUUGAAGAUACUUUGUAUGGUGACGACGAAUACAAAAUUGAUGAUGAAGAACUAAAGUUGGUCCUGGAAGAUCUAGAAUGCAUAGAUUACGCUAAGAACUAUGAAUUGUCCAGUGAUGAUCUUGAAAUCGAAGACCUUGAUGAGGAAGAUGAAGACGAGUUUGAGCUCCUUGAAUUGCAAGAUUGUCUGCCUGUAGUGAACACUCAUUUAACCAGCGUUAAGCAGGUAUUACAGGAAGCAAAUAUUUGCUAUUUUUGCAAAUAUUUGCUUCGUCUAAUAUCUGCUUUAGAUGCGCAGCGCACACAGUUCAGCUUCCUGUCUACGAUGUACUAAAAACCAAAUCACUGUCAAGGUUUCUUACUAACGCCAGAAAGCUCGUGAAGAUUAUGCGUUGUCAACCAUAUGUGAAUUCCUUCAAGCUGGACCAAUGCCGAAAUCUACCGUUUAUGGAUGGCGACACGCGUUGGGGGUCCGCUUACUUAUUGAUCAAUCGGUUGCAAGAUGAAAAGGAUUUUAUAAUUAGCCUUCUACCGCCGCAACUAUUGAAGUCAUUCAACACAAAAUUUUGGCAACGAGUGGAUCAAUUCGUAUUGGCAGCCAAACCGGUGUAUAUACUAACUGAACGUAUCCUCCUGAAACUUUGCUAUGUGGUUCUUUCUACCUUUAUUGGCAAGAGUGCUGUCUUGAGUUGCAGGAAAUUGGAGAUACAAUUUCGAAGCAGCUGCUCAAAGCAUUAAAUCACCGCAGACACAUGUGGAUGGACAAUGCUGCAUUCCUGGCGACUCUGUAUGUUGAUCCUCGCCUAACUGAUUUUGAACCAGCGAUACUAACUCCGGAGCAGAAGGAAACAGCCAUCCAACAUUUACGUGUAACCUGGAAAGCCAUUCGAUCUCUACGAACUACUGCAACGACACCGGAAAAGACAUCAACUUCUCCAACAGCAAGUCCGAGUCCGAACGACUUACAUCGGGUUCAAAAGUUCCUGCUUUCUAAGAGACUGUCGAAGUCAUCUAGUGACAUUGAUAUUGAGAAACGAAUCCGUCGAAUUCAGAUAGACAUGUGCCUGCCAUUAGAUGCUGAUGUAGGGUAGGGAACGGCUUAAGCAGUAGCGCCUAUUUUAAGCAGUCGAAGAAAACAGGCCUCAAACUCCUGCAUUUUGAUCAAUAUCGACAAUUUCAAUUAUGGAAACGAAAUCUUUGAUUGUCUAGCUGUCUUGCGAAUAUAAGAAAUACCGUUAAUCACAGCGAAAUCUGUGAACAUUUGCAAUUGAAACAAAUCGACCUAUAUUGCAGCCAUUCAGGAGCCACUUCGGGUGCUGAAAAAAAAAACGCCUGCAAAACUGCUGGAAGCUGCUUUAAAUAGGUUCGGGGUGAUUGGAAUAGUGUCCCUCGAUUGGUAACUUUGAUUGAUGAUUGUUAAAGUUUGCUAACUUAGUUUUACAAUCUGAAAACAAGUUCUGACAGAGAAAACACAUUCCGAGUAUUUCGUCUGAAUACACAGGCGGUUCCUAAAGCUGCUUAGAAUAUGUUCCCUACCCUACUUGCAUUUUGGGAAAAAUAUGCAAAGCAUGACAGCGAUUUAUCUAUUUUAGCCCUGACUGUGCUUCAACUACCUUGCACACAGGUUUCAGUUGAAUGAGAAUUUAAUGGACUCGGGCAAAUAUUGACCAAGUUCAGGAUGAAUCUCAGUAAGGAUAACUUAGAACAUUUACGAGUCGAACAGUAAUGUAGUGAAGGCACUUAUGUACGAUUUUGAUUUCUAAUUUUUUACCCUGAUUUCAUUUUUUACCCGUAUAAUGAUAAUUAAACAUCAUAUCUUAGAAAUAUGAUUUUUUUUUAAAUUUAGAACGUUAACUAUUCUUUCCGAUAAAAAAGUAUCAGUUCUUUGAAAUAUAACGACGCGAUUUAUGUAUGGCCUUACCUUUUUUAACCCUUUUUAACGCCCGUGUUUUCUAACCGCACCGCUUGGAUUUACACUGGGGUCUUUUUUACGCGGUUGGUUGUACCACGUUGAAAAAAUCCGCGUAUAAAAAAACCGCGUAAUUUUAAAAAAAAUGCGUAAAAAAAACUCCGUUCAAAAAAAAAAAAGAGAUCCGAUUAAAAAUAAUGGCACGUAAGUAAAUAUAAACUUAAAAAACCUAAAUUAAUCCACCUAGCGGUCAGACCCAGCCUUUCUCAUUAAAUUUUUUAUUUGUAAAAAUAGAUUUACAUGAACGCUUCAAUCCAAUAAAUGUAUAUUCACUCUUUAGGUUCUAAAA